rnacentral:misc_RNA from 1 species
GUGUUGUCACGCUCGGCGUCUCGUUACGUCCACUGGAACUUCAAGGCAAAAGCAUUAAUUUCGUGUGCGAAAGCGCCGUCCAUCGUUUGUGCAAUGUGUAAAGCUUGCGCGCAAUUCUCGUGGUUCUUGGAGCUUCGGUCAAGUACGAGCUGUUCAAGGAAUCGGCGGAAGAUUCCGCAUGUGAUGGCCGACUCCCGUGGCUGCCUACUGCACCGCUGCAUGAAAGAAGCUAAAGGCUGCCAUGACCCUUAUGUGCGCUCUAACCAGCAGUUGUCAACGCGGUGCUGACGUGCAGUCACAAUCUGCGGCAUGCAUUAUUGACCUUGGCCGAGGAAUUUUAAUGGAAAACCAGAAGUGGCAGUGGCUUCCAGAAGAAACCGAGGGCUCCCUUGCUUUCUCAGAGAGAAAGAGCAAAGGCACUGUGGCGCAUCGAAAACCUGCACAACUAGAGCAUCCCUGGUUCACCAUGCUGCUCUUUCAUCAAAGAGGAAGGUCAUCAUCCUCAGAGAAGCUUCAUGCACUGAAGCAUGCUUUCCACCAGAGGAGCGGGUGGGAAACGAGUUCUUCCAAGGGAGCGUCUACCGAUACCUGGCGGGCAAGCUGAAAGUCAUCAGAAGGCCGAAUGAAUAAAUCGUUGGUGGUUCAUCUGCAUGUACAA